rnacentral:lncRNA from 1 species
GGCCAGCUCCUGUCUAGUUCAAACUAGUUGAGACCACUGACCCUUCAACUGGGUCUGCAUGGGUGCCUGAGAGGUGGCCUUUUGAUAUCAGAGGGUCAAAAACUCCACCCUCAAGAUCAUGCUAAUGUUGCCAUUUUCUGUACAUAUGUCCUGUGAACUGUUCGUCCACCUCAUCUCUUGGUGACCUAGUGUGUAAAUCUUUUCUCUUUUGCAGAAUCUAUGUCACAGUGAUUGAUUUACUGCAUAUGAGCAGAAUGAACCUGGACCUGGCCAGUAUCAUUAAGCUGUGUUUCCCCUGAAGUUAUGUGAAAAGCAUUUGUGGAUUUAACAGAGUUAAGGGUCUCACUUCAUCACCUAGACUGGAGUACAGUAGCACAGUUGCAGCUUCCUACAUCUUGACUUCCUGGGUUCCAGUGAUCCUCCCCCUUCAGCCUCUCAGAGAGAGAAAGAAAGCAGAGCUCUUUGAAGCAGAGAAAGAAAGCAGAAAGCAGAGAUCUUUGAAGGCUUAAGAAACCAUAAGGAGUUUUGGAGAGUCAAUGCAUGAUGAUCUCUGAAGAUUCUACUGAAAUCUAAUCAAUAUGUCCUCACUGCCAUCAAUUCAAAAGAACUUGCUAAGAAGGCUCUAGAGGCUUGUACUCUCAGAUAGUGAAAGUGAGAUGAUGUGUAGUGAAAGUCAUAUAUAGGUUGUAAAUUGCAAUAUGGAAUUCCCAAAUGCUGAAUUCAUUUUAUCUCUUCGGAAAUAAAAACCUGUUAAAGACUCA